rnacentral:rRNA from 1 species
UACGGGGGGGGGUAAGCGUUGUUCGGAAUUACUGGGCGUAAAGGGCUCGUAGGCGGCCAACUAAGUCAGACGUGAAAUCCCUCAGCUUAACUGGGGAACUGCGUCUGAUACUGGAUGGCUUGGAUUCGGGAGAGGGAUGCGGAAUUCCAGGUGUAGCGGUGAAAUGCGUAGAUAUCUGGAGGAACACCGGUGGCGAAGGCGGCAUCCUGGACCGAUAUUGACGCUGAGGAGCGAAAGCCAGGGGAGCAAACGGG